UUUUAUUUUAUUUUUAUUAUUGGUAAAAAAUUAAUAGUUUUCCUAAGUUGUGGUUCCAUUUAAUGAUGACAAUAUACCGCCCCAGACUGAAUCACAUGUUGAAGGUUUUAUCUGAUUACAUUUUUCAAAAGAAAUAUAAGACAUUUUUAUAGUUGGACCAAUGUUUAAAAGUUAAAUAAUAAUUGCAUUUACAUGAUGACAAUUUACCGCCCCAGACUGAAUCUCAUGUUGAAGGUUUUAUCUGAUUACAUUUUUCAAAUAAAUAUUAAAUAUUUUUAUAAUUGGACCAAUGUUUAAAAGUUAAAUUAUGAGUGCAUUUACAUGAUGACAAUAUACCGCCCCAGACAGAAUAUUAUGUUGAAGGUUUUAUCUGAUAACAAUUUUCAAAGAAAUAUAAGACAUUUUUAUAAAUGGACCAAUGGUUAAAAGUUAAAUUAUGAGUGCAUUUACAUGAUGACAAUAUACCGCCCCAGACUGAAUCUCAUGUUGAAGGUUUUAUCUGAUUACAUUUUUCAAAAGAAAUAUAAGACAUUUUUAUAAUUGGACCAAUGAUUAAAAGUUAAAUAAUAAUUGCAUUUACAUGAUGACAAUAUACCGCCCCAGACUGAAUCUCAUGUUGAAGGUUUUAUCUGAUUACAUUUUUCAAAAGAAAUAUAAGACAUUUUUAUAAUUGGACCAAUGAUUAAAAGUUAAAUAAUAAUUGCAUUUACAUGAUGACAAUAUACCGCCCCAGACUGAAUCUCAUGUUGAAGGUUUUAUCUGAUUACAUUUUUCAAAAGAAAUAUAAGACAUUUUUAUAAUUGGACCAAUGUUUAAAAGUUAAAUUAUGAAUGCAUUUACAUGAUGACAAUAUACCGCCCCAGACUGAAUCUCAUGUUGAAGGUUUUAUCUGAUUACAUUUUUCAAAGAAAUAUUAAAUAUUUUUAUAAUUGGACCAAUGUUUAAAAGUUAAAUUAUGAAUGCAUUUACAUGAUGACAAUAUACCGCCCCAGACUGAAUCUCAUGUUGAAGGUUUUAUCUGAUUACAUUUUUCAAAGAAAUAUAAGACAUUUUUAUAAUUGGCCCAAUGUUUAAAAGUUAAAUAAUAAUUGCAAUUACAUGAUGACAAUAUACCGCCCCAGACAGAAUCU